UACGUAGGGUGCAAGCGUUGUCCGGAAUUAUUGGGCGUAAAGAGCUCGUAGGCGGUUCGUCGCGUCGGCUGUGAAAACCCGGAGCUCAACUCCGGGCCUGCAGUCGAUACGGGCGGACUAGAGUUCGGCAGGGGAGACUGGAAUUCCUGGUGUAGCGGUGAAAUGCGCAGAUAUCAGGAGGAACACCGGCGGCGAAGGCGGGUCUCUGGGCCGUAACUGACACUGAGAGACGAAAGCUAGGGGAGCGAAUGGG
rnacentral:rRNA from 1 species